rnacentral:rRNA from 1 species
AGCGAACGCUGGCGGCAGGCCCAACACAUGCAAGUCGAACGAACUCUUCGGAGUUAGUGGCGGACGGGUGGGUAACACGUGGGAACGUGCCUUUAGGUUCGGAAUAACUCAGGGAAACUUGUGCUAAUACCGAAUGUGCCCUUCGGGGGAAAGAUUUAUCGCCUUUAGAGCGGCCCGCGUCUGAUUAGCUAGUUGGUGAGGUAAAGGCUCACCAAGGCGACGAUCAGUAGCUGGUCUGAGAGGAUGAUCAGCCACAUUGGGACUGAGACACGGCCCAAACUCCUACGGGAGGCAGCAGUGGGGGAUCUUGCGCAAUGGGCGAAAGCCUGACGCAGCCAUGCCGCGUGAAUGAUGAAGGUCUUAGGAUUGUAAAAUUCUUUCACCGGGGACGAUAAUGACGGUACCCGGAGAAGAAGCCCCGGCUAACUUCGUGCCAGCCGCCGCCGUAA